rnacentral:rRNA from 1 species
GAUGAACGCUGGCGGCGUGCCUAAUACAUGCAAGUCGAGCGAACGGACGAGAAGCUUGCUUCUCUGAUGUUAGCGGCGGACGGGUGAGUAACACGUGGAUAACCUACCUAUAAGACUGGGAUAACUUCGGGAAACCGGAGCUAAUACCGGAUAAUAUUUUGAACCGCAUGGUUCAAAAGUGAAAGACGGUCUUGCUGUCACUUAUAGAUGGAUCCGCGCUGCAUUAGCUAGUUGGUAAGGUAACGGCUUACCAAGGCAACGAUGCAUAGCCGACCUGAGAGGGUGAUAGGCCACACUGGAACUGAGACACGGUCAAGACUCCUACGGGAGGCAGCAGUAGGGAAUCUUACGCAAAGGGCGAAAGCCUGACGGAGCAACGCCGCGUGAGUGAUGAAGGUCUUCGGAUCGUAAAACUCUGUUAUUAGGGAAGAACAUAUGUGUAAGUAACUGUGCACAUCUUGACGGUACCUAAUCAGAAAGCCACGGCUAACUACGUG